CAACGUAGGCAGCAGUGACCGUUGAUUCCAUUUCACCAAUUAAACAAACACCAAGUACAGCUACGGGAAGCUGAAAUAGGUCAGUAUUUUAAAAAGUAUAAAAUAGACCUACUUACUUGUCUAAUAAGUGUCAGAAUGUUCCCAAAUAAGACAUUUUAAAGACGUCAGCGCAUCCCGGCUGUUUGAGACAACUGGAAGAUAUGGACAUCCCAUCGGUCGUCAUCAAAGUGAGAGCAGACAUUGUACAAGACCGAGCCACUUGAUGAUGUAGAAGUUCUUCUUGCCCACUCGGAGCAGCGUAAGUCCAUUGGCGAGGAUGUGGAGCUUUGGGAUGAGCACCUGCUCAGGUCUGUCUGCCCGCUGGUGGUUGAGCCACACCGCUCCCUCUGAAACCAUCCGAUACCUGCGCACCAACAGUUCAAAAACUGUUCAAUAACAAACAUCAAGCAAGCAAUACAUCCAUUCUGGGAUGUGGGCACCUUUUCAGAAAAAAGGAAAACUGAGGAAAAAAAGAGGAAUAUAUUUCUUAUCUGCACAAAGUGCUGCCACGCAAACCCUGAAAAAACAUUUUGAAAAUAAAGACUACAUU